UACAGAGGUCUCAAGCGUUGUUCGGAUUCAUUGGGCGUAAAGGGUGCGUAGGCGGCGCGGUAAGUCGGGUGUGAAAUCUCGGAGCUUAACUCCGAAACUGCAUUCGAUACUGCCGUGCUUGAGGACUGGAGAGGAGACUGGAAUUUACGGUGUAGCGGUGAAAUGCGUAGAUAUCGUAAGGAAGACCAGUGGCGAAGGCGGGUCUCGUGGACAGUUCCUGACGCUGAGGCACGAAGGCCAGGGGAGCAAACGGG
rnacentral:rRNA from 1 species